rnacentral:rRNA from 1 species
AACGAACGCUGGCGGCAUGCCUAACACAUGCAAGUCGAACGAGACCUUCGGGUCUAGUGGCGCACGGGUGCGUAACGCGUGGGAACCUGCCCUUAGGUUCGGAAUAACUCCCCGAAAGGGGUGCUAAUACCGGAUAAUGUCUCGGACCAAAGAUUUAUCGCCUUUGGAUGGGCCCGCGUUGGGUUAGCUAGUUGGUAGGGUAAAAGCCUACCAAGGCGACGAUCCAUAGCUGGUCUGAGAGGAUGAUCAGCCACACUGGGACUGAGACACGGCCCAGACUCCUACGGGAAGCAGCAGUGGGGAAUAUUGGACAAUGGGCGAAAGCCUGAUCCAGCAAUGCCGCGUGAGUGAUGAAGGCCUUAGGGUUGUAAAGCUCUUUUACCCGGGAUGAUAAUGACAGUACCGGGAGAAUAAGCUCCGGCUAACUCCGUG